CCUUGGUGACAUCCUGUUGCCCUGUCCCUGCAGACAGAUGUGGAGGCGGUGGUGGCCGACCUGGUGAAGCUGGUCCACAGCGCGGGCGCUGAGAGCCGGAGCAAGGCCGUGCGCCCCAAGGCACUGCUGGACAACUGCCUCAAGGUCAUGCGGAUGCUGUACGGAGUGCCCUGUCGAUGGGAGUCCACCUAACGCUGCAGAAGACCCCUCACUCGACACCUUCUCCUUGCCCUGGAGCCUCGGAUGCUGCCUCUGCUCUGCCACUCCCAGCAGAGCCCCAGGGGUGUUCCCAAGGAAGGUGCAAAGGUGGGACAAAUGCCACCUCUUCUGGGACCAAACAUCACUCCUUCCAGGACCGUGGGACUGUUCAUGGCCGUGGGGUUUUGCCCAUCCAAAAUGCCUGGCACCUUCAGCAUGGGUGUAGGGUUGGACAGAGCCCCCCAUGAUGGGCAGCUGUUGAGGGGGACACGCUGCCCUCCCUGCCCACACGAAGGGUGAGGGCAUCACCCCAUUCCUCUCUGUUUGUAUUUUCCCCUCAGCUUUCAUUAAACAGCAGUUAAUUCUCUAGCAUUGCAGCUCAGCUUCUGACCGGGUCCUGGGAGCCUCCAGCCUCACCCAAAAUAAAGGACCAGCAAAGAGAA